rnacentral:rRNA from 1 species
GGACUUAUGGUCGGUUCUCUCGCAUUGGGCUUUAUCGCUCGGUGUGGGUGACUGGCGCUUUUACUUUGAACAAAUCAGAGUGCUCAAGACAGGCGUAUGCCUGAAUGUUCGCGCAUGGAAUAAUGGAAGAGGAUUUCGGUUCGCUUUUCAUUGGUUUUUCGACCGAGAUAAUGGUUAAUAGAGACAGACGGGGGCAUCUGUAUUUCUGCGUGAGAGGUGAAAUUUUUGGACCGCAGAAGGACAAACUACAGCGAAAGCAUUUGCCAAGAAUGUCUUCAUUAAUCAAGAACGAAAGUCAGAGGAUCGAAGGCGAUUAGAUACCGCCCUAGUUCUGACCGUAAACGAUGCCAACUAGCGAUCUGUCGGCGGUGGCCGCAAGGCAAUGCCCCGAUAGGGAGCUUCCCGGAAACGAAAGUCUUCCGGUUCCGGGGGAAGUAUGGUUGCAAAGCUGAAACUUAAAGGAAUUGACGGAAGGGCACCACCAGGAGUGGAGCCUGCGGCUUAAUUUGACUCAACACGGGAAACCUCACCCGGGCACGACACCGUGGGGAUUGACAAACUGAAGCUUUUUCAUGAUUCGGUGGUUGGUGGUGCAUGGCCGUUCUUAGUUCGUGGAGUGAUCUGUCUGGUUUAUUCCGAUAACGAGCGAGACUCUAGUCUGCUAAAUAGUUGGCGCGCAAAAUGCGACGCGACUUCUUAGAGGGAUGUCCGGUGCUCAGCCGGAAGAAACGGAGCAAUAACAGGUCUGUGAUGCCCUUAGAUGUCCGGGGCUGCACGCGCGCUACACUGGCAAAAUCAGCGUGUGAAUCUGCCUUGAGAGGGGUGGACAAUCCUUUGAAAAUUUGCCGUGAUUGGGAUCGGAG